rnacentral:rRNA from 1 species
CUACGGGUCGCUGCAGGCGAGAAAACUUUGCAAUGUGCGAAAGCACGACAAGGUUAAUCCGAGUGGUUUCUGCUAAAGGAACCUUUUGUCGGUCCUAGAAACACCGAUGAAUAAGGGGUGGGCAAGUUCUGGUGUCAGCCGCCGCGGUAAAACCAGCACCUCAAGUUGUCAGGAUGAUUAUUGGGCCUAAAGCAUCCGUAGCCGGCUCUGUUAGUUUUCGGUUAAAUCUGUAUGCUCAACAUACAGGCUGCCGGGAAUACUGCAGAGCUAGGGAGUGGGAGAGGUAGACGGUACUCGGUAGGAAGGGGUAAAAUCCUUUGAUCUAUUGAUGACCACCUGUGGCGAAGGCGGUCUACCAGAACACGUCCGACGGUGAGGGAUGAAAGCUGGGGGAGCAAACCGGAUUAGAUACCCCGGUAGUC